ACAAUCAAGCCCUUGGCUUCACUCAGUCAUUAAUCCUUCCAGUCUCUUAGGCUCUUAGUAAUCAUCGGCCUAAACCACAAUAACAUGAUGUAUCAACAAGUAAAUAAUAGAGACUGAGAUAUGAUAUGCGAGUAAAAUUGAGAUUGAGUACAAAUAGCAAUUAUGAGGUAAUUUAACAUGUAACACAACCCCCGUGGGUCCUAAAAAUACCAACACAUAGCCUAAAUAUAAUUUAUAGUCAAAUCUCUAUAACACAUGGAAAGCAUAGAGCUAACAACAAAUUAUUCAACUUGACAGUUUCCAUGGGAUGGACCAAGUCACAAUUCCUUCGGUGCACGCCCACAUGCCCGUCACCUAGUAUGUGCAACACCUCAAAAUAAAUCGCAUAACACAAAAUUCAGGGAUCUAUAUCCUCAGAGUCCAAUUUAGAACUGUUGCUUACCUCAAGUUGUGCAAUACUUUAUUCCAAUAUACCAUUGCCUCGCGAGUUGGUCUCUAAAAGCCGGGGUUCUAUAUCCUCAGAAUCCAAUUUAGAACUGUUGCUUACCUCAAGUUGUGCAAUACUUUAUUCCAAUAUGCCAUUGCCUCGCGAGUUGGUCUUUAAAAGCCUCAAAUCUAGACACAAAUAGUUCGAUAUAAUCAACACAAGCUAUAGGAAUCAAUUCCAAAUGAUAAAGAACGGAUCUUUAAUUAUAACCCCGGAGUCAACCAACUUGAAACUUACGGAAACAUUAUGGAAUUCAAUUUCAAGAGAGAAGUUUAGCCAAUAUACUUGAAAUUUGCUCCUUGAUGAUACUACAACGAUCCACUAUAUUAAUCAACUUCAAUCUGCAAUAUCGACAUCCAAUAGAACCAACAUUAGAAACAAUACCAUAGUUUAGGCCAUAUAGGCAUUUUAUCAAACACCUAGAGUGCAUAACAUUCUACUACCUCUAGUAAUAGUGUUUCUUACUCCAGCAAUCCUCCUUACCAUUUCCGAGCCUGAAGGUGAUGAAGGCUCUGAGGACUCUAAGGGAUUUAAAGGCUUCGACGGUUCUGGCGACGAAUCAGACCCUAGUGAUGAUCAGGCAUGAAUGCCUUAGAACUUUUUUUAGUUUUGUCGUGUGUAUAUUUUUUUAUUAUUUUGAUGCCGUUUUUGUUAGGCCAUUGUAAAUACAUUCCGAAAUAUAUAAAAAAAUUUCCUUUCUGGCCAUUUCGAGCCUCUACUUUUUUAGCGUAUUUUCAUAAUUUCUAAUCACAACAAGAGAUAUUACAACACCCUUAGUCUACUAAUUGCUUUCAUUAGCACCAUUACAAUAAUCAAUAAACUCACAUCCACCCAAUUUUAUUAGUCAACUCAUUACAAAAAUUUCUAAACACACAAAAAUUUAGUUAAGCAUUUAUGGCUUCCAAGCACCAUACAAUACAUUCUAAUACUUAAUUCUACUCUUAUAUUCAUUAACAAUCCAUGCAUAUAGGUUUAAGAGUGAACGAUUACCUCUUGAAGACCAAAUCUUGAAAGACAACUUUUGGGGUGUUCUUGGGAUAUUGGACUAAUUCCUAUGGAUUUCAACCCAUAUAGAGGUUAAUACUAGCAUCAAUCAAUGUUAAUCCACCAUAAAAUAUCAUGAAACUUGCCUUUGAUGUAUUUGGUUUAGAGGAUCGAUGCUCCACCUUCUUCCUAGAACCGAAGACUUAGCCAAAAAUACCAAAUGUUUCUCUCUCUCUCUGAGCGCCUUAUUUUAAAGCACAAGGGGUCUGCAUGGGCAUGUAACCUAGCCACACGACUUGAGAUCCCUUCCGUCCUUAUUCUAGAGUAGGCCACACAGCCUGCAUGGGCCACACAUCUUGGCCACACGGGGCUUCAUUAAUGCGCCAAGUUCAAUUUCCAUCUGAACCCCGUCCGAAACUCAUCCGAGCCACUUGGGACCUCGUUCAAAUAUACCAAAAAGUCCUGUAACAUAAUAGGGACUUGCUCGAGGUCCGAAAUUACAUCAAACAACGUCAAAAUUAUAAAUUGUACCUUGAAUCGAGCUUAUACAUUUUGAAAUUUGCAAAUUUCAUAUCUUGUGACGAAACGUACCAACUCAAUCUGGAAUAACAUCAAAUUUUGCACACAAGCCAUAAAUGACAUAAGGAAGCUAUCUUAAUUUUCAGAAUCGAAUUUUGACCCUGAUAUCAAAAAGUCAACUACCCGCCAAACUUCUAAAUUUUCAAUUUCUUAUUUUCGUCAUUUCUUGCCAAAUUUAACUAAGGACCUAAAAAUAAAUAUCUGAACGCACUCCUAAGUUUGAAAUUACCAUAUAGAACUAUUGGAACCAUUAAAUCCGAUUCCGGGUCUUUUACACAUAAUUCACUAUCAGAUCAAUUGUUUCAACUUAAGCUUUAAAUCUUGAAACUAAGUGUUCCAAUUCAUUUUAAAACCUCCCGACAAGUCACAUAAUUAUAACUGAACACAGAAUAAGCAGUAAAUGGAGAAACGUGGUUGUAAUACUCGAAACGACCGGCCGAGACGUUACACUAACAACAUUAUCAGGGGCUCUCUAGCAGACAUGGGAAGCCAACAAUUACUACUGACGAGAUUUCACAAUUUGAACAACUAUCUUAUUAAGUGUUGACUAUCACAAACCCUAAUUUUAAUUGAUAACAACAUAUAAACUUCAUUGCUAAUGACUAAAUCGUGCAAACGAUUAAUUUUAUAUAGAUUUGUAGGAAAUUUUUAAAUAGACAGAUUUUAUAUCAUUGUUUAACAUGAUACAUGCAGUAGUUCAACUUAUAACACCAACUUAUAUUCCAACCAGCAAUCAAACAAAACACAACUUGAUGAAUAUCAAACAAAUUAACAGUACUGGAACACAACAAGCAGUCAACAAUUUUAUGCUUCAAACAAACUGAAAUUUACAUCACUUGAUCGAGAAAGGAUACCGGCUUAAAACAGAAUAAAAAGAAGAAAAUAAAUCUCUGGCUUUGAAGAAUAAGUAACAACCAAAACCAAAGAGCUCGGCUACAGAUUAAUAGGCAACAACAAACAACAAUUUUCGAAUUUAAAGCAACUCUCUAACUACGAGAGAAUAUGUAACAAAGAAUUUAAAUUGAAAAUAAUCUCUGAAUUUGCUUUAUUUUGAACCUUUCUUUCAUUUUUUCUUUUGGAAUCUUUUUUCUAUUUUGGUUUUCUUUCUUCUCAAAUUUGGAUUGAAAUUCCCAAAUUUCUAGCUACUAAUGUGUGAAAGUGAGAGGAAUGUAUAUUAUUUGAAAAGGCAGAAUAAAAAGUGUCUGUGAUACGCAAAAAUGAGAGGAUAUAUAGAAAAGGUGUCAGUGUGAAAAUGGAAAAAAGGCAUCUUUCCCAAAUAGAAUUUUGGUACUGCUGUCUUCCAGAUAUUCUUUCCUUUCUUUUUAAUCCUUUUUUUUCUAUUUUACUCCCUAAGUCUCUUACACCAGGCCAUUUCUUUUCUAUUCUAGAACUUUCUCUAGGCAACUAUAUAAGAUUCCUUCUUUAUUUCUAAAUUGAAACUUAAACUCUUACUAUUCCCUCCCCCCCCCCUUUCACAAGGCCAUUUCUUUUCUAUUCUAGAACUUUCUCUAGGCAACUAUAUAAGAUUCCUUACUUAUUUCUAAAUUGAAACUUAAACUCUUACUACUCCCCCCUCCCCCCCGACCCCGAUUUUCAACAACAUCAAGAGUCAUGUGACAUGAAAGUCAAAUCCUAACAGACUUCACUCGACCUCUUCUCAUCCAGUAAACCAAUUUUAAAGUCUAACAGGCCUAUCUAUUACACAAAGCAGUCCCAAUCUUUUGUUAAACUCAAACACACUGAAAAUGGGGUCUAUGCUCCAAUCAAAACUUAAAUGGAAAUCAAUAUCAAAGACAACAACUAUUUUUAUUCUAAUUUAAAAAUUAAAAUUAAAUCGAAUUAAUGAAUUUACUAACUAAUAUGACACCACAUUAAUAAACAACCACCAAUUUAAUCAACAAUUAACAGGAUUCAACACAACAUAAUCAAAACUAAUUAAACAAAAACCUCAAUUAAUCAGAAACAAACUACUAAUUAAUCUACCCUUAAACACGUAAUGCAAUCAUCCAAAAAAUGAAUGGCUACCAAUCAAACAGUAAAUCAGAUAGUUAAAUAAAAAUGAAGGAUGAAGAAGAGGAUAAAUGAGUUACCACUCGAGAUAACUUGAGAAAAACCCAAGAUUCAAUGCCAACAUCGGAGUUUCAAUACUAAUUAGUAACAACUUUUGCCCGAUAAACACUUAUCCGGACUCUCGAUGUCCGAUAAGUAUUUCAUUGGGCAAAGCACGUUGAGGUUCAACGGAUCUUGACAUAGAUGAAGGAUUCCAGUGAAAGAGAUUCUGAGUAUCAUGUUUUACCUGAAAUGACAUUAUGACAAAAAUCAAAAGGUCUUGAAGGGACCAAUUAAUCAACGUAAAGUUCAUGGUCAUAGGGGCUCUGGCUUAGUUGGGAAUUGAAAGAAAAAAAGAGAGCCUAGGGUUGGGGGGGAGGUCUGUUAGGAUAGUAUUAUGGGAUUAGAUGGUGGAGCU
rnacentral:lncRNA from 1 species